AGUCAUAAAUACUUUGUUCUUGGUUUAAAAAUGUAUCCUUUCUGUUUGGUUGCUGUAAUUACUGUAGUUAUACUUACACUAUUUAUACAGAUAGUUUAGCUUCUUAAAUGACAAGGCCUCAUUUAUCUUCAUAGAGAAUCUGAUAUUAUAUAGAAGACAUUUUGAGAUAAUGAGCCCCUCUUCAUUAAGUUGCAGAUUCUACAGAGCUGUUACUGAAUGAUGCCUUUCCCUAAUUUUCCCUUUUUCCCUAGGCAUACGUACUGAAAUGUACUUUAACCCUAAUGACUCAGAGUAGUCCUCACUGUACACACUGAUCACUGUAGUUUCAUAGCGCAGCUCUCAGAAGCCAGUGAGACCAUUAGGAGUGUCUGCCUAGCACGCACUGGUCUGGGAAGACUGAAAUCCUCAGCUGUCACAGUGGUAGGAUGCCCACCUUUUAGCAGAUUUUUUUUCACCUUUAGCGUCUGUAGUCUGGGGGUAAGCCAGCUGCUUAGAAUCACUGUGUACAACGAAGGUCAGUGAACUUUGUG
rnacentral:lncRNA from 1 species